rnacentral:rRNA from 1 species
AUUGAACGCUGGCGGCAGGCUUAACACAUGCAAGUCGAGCGAGCGGCGGACGUGUGAGUAAUGUCUGGGACACUGCCUGAUGGAGGGGGUUCACUACUGGAAACGGUAGCUGAUACCGCAUACCAUCAGAUGGGCCCAGAUGGGAUUAGCUAGGGGGUGGGGUAAUGGCUCACCUAGGCGACGAUCCCUAGCUGGUCUGAGAGGAUGACCAGCCACACUGGAACUGAGACACGGUCCAGACUCCUACGGGAGGCAGCAGUGGGGAAUAUUGCACAAUGGGCGCAAGCCUGAUGCAGCCAUGCCGCGUGUGUGAAGAAGGCCUUCGGGUUGUAAAGCACUUUCAGCGAGGAGGCGUUACUCGCAGAAGAAGCACCGGCUAACUCCGUGCCAGCAGCCGCGGUAAUUC